rnacentral:rRNA from 1 species
UGGGGAAUUUUGGGCAAUGGGCGCAAGCCUGACCCAGCAACGCCGCGUAAGGGAUGAAGGUCUUCGGAUCGUAAACCUUUGUCGAGAGGGACGAACCUGUCUGGUUAAUCCCAGACUCUGACGGUACCUCUGGAGGAAGCACCGGCUAACUCCGUGCCAGCAGCCGCGGUAAUACGGAGGGUGCAAGCGUUGUUCGGAAUCAUUGGGCGUAAAGAGCGUGUAGGUGGAUUGAUAAGUCAGGAGUGAAAUCCCUCGGCUUAACCGAGGAAGUGCUUUUGAAACUAUCAUUCUAGAGUAUGGGAGAGGGAAGUGGAAUUCCAUGUGUAGAGGUGAAAUUCGUAGAUAUAUGGAGGAACACCAGUGGCGAAGGCGACUUCCUGGCCCACAACUGACACUGAGACGCGAGAGCGUGGGGAGCAAACAGG